UUUUGUAUCACUGUGGUAAUGUCUCUACCAUUGAGCUAGGAGGCCUGGGUUCAAAUCCUAUCUGCUUCAAGCCUCUGUACUUCAGCGGGCAAACUUCCAGCAAAACCCCCAGCUCAGAAAUCGGAGUAACUGAAAUUACCAGAUCAGGUAAUUGACCCAGAAGAGGAAAAGGAUCCCUUGGGGUGGAAGAAGAAAGCUGUUGUUAAAAUACGCAGAUCCUUACUUUCGUGUUUAAUUUGCUAAGAUCAACCUGGGAAUCACGACCUUGCUUUGCUGCUCACCGCCACACGAGGUCCUCAGACGAGCAAAGAUGAAUAAACCUGCGGCGUAAUGUUUUGGCCGUUACAGUAAUUCUGUAAUGCUGUGUAUAUACCGCCAGAUGGCAGAGCAGAUCAAUGAAAGUUGCACAGUUCCUGCAUUGUGCAGAGAGCAAAUGUUUCCGCAAACCGGGCGAGUUCCUUAAUUUUCCUGAAUAUCAGUAUUGACGGGGAUACUGAGGAAUAUUUGAAUAUAGACAUGGAGUUUCCCAUGGAGUUUGUCAGCAGUGACAAGGGACCCUGGGGUAGUGUGUGAAUAUUAAAGCCAGGUCCCCGGGAGAUUGUGUCAGUGUUUACAAGGGGGUUUGGGGAGUGUGUCAGUACUUCCAGGGGGUCCCAGGGAGUGUUAGUAUUUACAGGGGUCCCCUAGGGAGUGUAUCAGCAUUUACGGGGUCCCGGGGAAUGUGUCAGUAUUAACAGGGGUCCCCAAUAGGAUGAAGUUGAAAAUCUACAACAUAAAUAGGUUUGUGGACGGUGAAGGAUAUUUGUUGACAUAGCCCCUGUUUGGUCCAGCUCUUAGUCACAGAUACCGAAUCUAAAGAUUAACAUGUUUAAUGUGAGCUCCUGGUGAAUAAACCAUUCUCUCACUGUGACCUGGUCUGCUCGAGUCCACUCAAGGGCAGCCCUCCCUGACUUGGUGCUCACUGUGUAAAUGCUGUGUCAGAGCAGGGCCCCUGCCUGUUGCUAAACUUCAAAUGGCUUUGGGGCUGUUUUUACUCCACGACUCCAUCAGUAAUGGCAAAUCUCCAACCCUACAUUCACCCCCGACCCAACCUUUCCCCUACCCUUCCAUUCCCAUUCCGAUGGGAAAAACGGCUGAAAAAAUCCUGGCACCACUCAGCGGAACAAAGGUCACGAACCCGACCCUGGUUCUCUCUCUCCCAACCCUUGUACCAGUGUGAUAACUGGGAACGCUGGGACAAGGGAUGGAUGAGGAAGAGCCUCUGGGAAUCUGGGAAAGGAUUAAUUGACGAAAGCUGGGAAUAAAAAAAACUCAUCGUCUCUUUCCCUGGAGGAAACUCACGCGGAGCGAAAAAAAAUGCCAGUAGGGACUAUUUGGGUUGAAUGACCUUUUUUAUGUUGUGCCUUUUCGGGGCCAUCGUCUGAACCUGAAUAAAGAUUUAUAUUUGAAA